CACGAACGCUGGCGGCAGGCUUAACACAUGCGAGUCGAGCGCCCCGCAAGGGGAGCGGCAGACGGGUGAGUAACGCGUGGGAAUCUACCCAUCUCUACGGAAUAACGCAUGGAAACGUGUGCUAAUACCGUAUACGUCCUUCGGGAGAAAGAUUUAUCGGAGAUGGAUGAGCCCGCGUUGGAUUAGCUAGUUGGUGGGGUAAAGGCCUACCAAGGCGACGAUCCAUAGCUGGGCUGAGAGGAUGAUCAGCCACACUGGGACUGAGAAACGGCCCAGACUCCUCCGGGAGGCAGCAGUGGGGAAUCUUGGACAAUGGGCGCAAGCCUGAUCCAGCCAUGCCGCGUGAGUGAUGAAGGCCCUAGGGUUGUAAAGCUCUUUCACCGGUGAAGAUAAUGACGGUAACCGGAGAAGAAGCCCCGGCUAACUUCGUGCCAGCCGCCGCAGUAAAAC
rnacentral:rRNA from 1 species